UGGGAACCUGCCUUUAGGUUCGGAAUAACGCCUCGAAAGGGGUNCUAAUACCGAAUAAUGUCUCGGACCAAAGNUUUAUCGCCUUUAGAUGGGCCCCGCGUUGGAUUAGCUAGUUGGNGGGUAAGCCUACC
rnacentral:rRNA from 1 species